CUCACCCAUCUAGAAAUCCAGUUCGUCUGUGAUACAUUUGAAACUUCAUUCCCUCUCCUUUUUAGAAAACCAAUAAAAUCUCUCUCUUCAUCCCUCUCUUCUCCUAUUGAAACCCUUUCUCUCUCGCGUGGUUUUGGCCAUAGAAACAUUAAUUUUAUUCAACCAAACACUCACAGAAAAGACCUCCCAUGGAGUUUAUGCCUAGUGGAGCAAGUGGGGGAACUAAAAUCCCUCCUUAAAUUUUUACUAAUCUGGUCCACCAAGUUUUUCCCCUCCUUUUCAAGCCAAAUUCAUGGAUAAUUGCAUCACUUCCAACUUCAAGAUUGCAACUAGUUCCUUUGAAACCCUUGUUAUUCAUCUUCAUUUGGGUCAUCCUUUAUGAUCGAUUCCAAAAAUUCUGGGCAAAUAAGGUUAUUUCAAAGUCAAACCUCAUAAUGUAGCCGACCUAGUUUUGCUUCUUCUUGUCUAUGGCUCUUCGUUGUUUUCCAGGGAAAGCUUAACAUCAAUUCUUCAAUGAACAGAUUGGAAAUGGGCAACGAUUAUAGUUUAAAACAAGCGUAAUGAAAAUCUUGAGGAGAUUGUUUUCAUUCAGUCAUCAACAAAGCAUAUUGCAAAUCUUGAGGAUAUCAAGCAAGAAUUAAGAGACAUGCAUUCAAAUGAUCCUCAAUUGUAGUUUAAGGGCAUGAUUUAAACAAGUAUUAAACAAGCAUGGUGAAGAGAAUGCAAGAGAAACGUUUAUUCCUGUAUUUGGUGAAUCAAAUACCAUGGUCUAAUAACGAGCCAUUCUGAUUACUCGAUAAUAUUGAACGGAACAAAAGACAGGUGGACUCAACGGUCUUCCGAAAAGGGAUGGGGGCAUCACAUACAUAUGGUGAGGUACAAUAAUGGUUAAAGACCCAAAAGUCUAGUCUAGGGGAGUUGAUAGGCGGGAAUGGCCAAGAAGCCUCUUGUUCAUAUCUCUCAUCAAAAGUCGUUUCCGGGAAGCACAUGCACAAAGGGAAUCAUUCUUCAAUUUUAUCGAUGCACUGCAUUCAUUCUUUGUUUUUGUUUAAUUUGGUUGCUUAUUUGUGUAGGCAAUGGUAAGAGUUUAUGUCUCUUGGUUGCUUCAAACAAAUUCAUUGGUUCUUAUGGAGCAACUUAUACCCGUGAUCAACAAAAACCAUUGUGGGCAAGUAUUUCUCAAACUCUAGUAACAGCUGCACUUCACUUUGCUGGUAUGUUAGAAAGGGCAUACUGUACUGAAACGGACUUUUAAUCAAGUGAAGAAACAAAAAACUUCUUCUCUUUCUUUUGUUUUUCCUUCAAUCUAUCACUCAAAAUCAAGCAAAUGUGAAUCUAAAGAUUUUGAAGAAUUGUGGCUUUAACAACAUAAG